GAUGAACGCUGGCGGCGUGCUUAACACAUGCAAGUCGAACGGUGAACACGGAGCUUGCUCUGUUGGAUCAGUGGCUAACGGGUGAGUAACACGUGAGCAACCUGCCCCUGACUCUGGGAUAAGCGCUGGUAACGGCGUCUAAUACUGGAUAUGUGACGUGACCGCAUGGUCUGCGUUUGGAAAGAUUGUUCGGUUGGGAUGGGCUCGCGGCCUAUCAGCUUGUUGGUGGGGUAAUGGCUCACCAAGGCGUAGACGGGUAGCCGGCCUGAGAGGGUGACCGGCCACAAUGGGACUGAGAGACGGCCCAGACUCCUACGGGAGGCAGCAGGGGGGAAUAUUGCACAAUGGGCGCAAGCCUGAUGCAGCAACGCCGCGGGAGGGAUGAAGGCCUUCGGGUUGUAAACCUCUUAUAGCAGGGAAGAAGCGAAAGUGACGGUACCUGCAGAAAAAGCGCCGGCUAACUACGUG
rnacentral:rRNA from 1 species